GCUUACGGCCACACUCCCUGGGCACGCCCGAUCUCGUUCGAUCUCGGAAGCUAAGCAGGGUCGGGCCCGGUUAUACUUGGAUGGGAGACCGCCUGGGCAUACCAGGUGCUGUAAGCC
ensembl:rRNA 5S_rRNA 5S ribosomal RNA